UUCUGGAAGCAACUCUGGCAUGGAGCUUACUGCGAAAAAUGCAAAGAGAAUGGAAAACACUCUUCAGUUCUCACUCUAACACUUCCAGCUGGAUACAAACUCUGCUGUAAUUAGGAGUCUGUCUGCAGGCUUCACAGAAAUAGAACUAACAGGUGCACAAUCAACCUGGAGAGGAAUUCAGCAGUUAGUAACACAGAUCCAUGAUGCAGCUUGUAUGCUAAGUCGACCUCUUAGGCAGUUCUGGAAAACUGAAGAUGGCAAGAGUGAAAGUUCUGAAAUGAAUCCGUGAUAUGAAUGUCAAAAUUCACCUUGCAGUAGAGUGUAUGCGUGUAGGAGCCAGCUGUACUUCAAUGAGGAACUGAAUUUCUCUGGAGACUUUACAGAUCGCAUCAUGUAUUCUGGCUUCAAAGUUCAGCUCUAAGUGGUUUCCAGGGACAGUGUUGGAAAUGGACUGUCUGAUUCCACCAUGAACAAAAAGGGACCCAGAACUGAUAUUACUUUUGAGACAAGUGCCAGCUCAAAGUGUCCUACAAUUACAUUAAACAGAGAACGAGAAAUGUCAGCUAUAGAACUAUUAGCCAUUCUCAACAGCCUUAUUCAGAACAUUUGCUACAGAAGAAAUUAAUAUUUUGUGCCCAAGCAUUGCACGAUGAGAGCAACUCUUCAGUGGAACGCGUAUUCUUACUUACAGUAUGAACUCACUAUGGACAGACAAGAAAAACAGAAUAGACUUUGAUACAGUAAGAGCCAGUCUAAUAGUGAAGGCUCUUAGCACAACUAUCCUGUGUGCAGUGUUACCACAAGAAUCUUAAGAACAAAAAAUUGCUGCAACAUAUUCAUUGUUCAUGCGAAUACUCCUACUCUCAAAAGCAAAAUGAAAGCGAGGAAACACUUUUUUUUUUAAUGAAAAUGCACAUAGUGAUGAUUCAUUGGUAACUUUAAAUGUGAUGUAAAUGUCCAAACACCAAUAAAUGCUGAAUGCAGCCUUUACUUUGCUAUCAUGGCAAUAUAAUUCCAAUUUUAUGGGGUUUAUGUACUAGGGUGCUGUGUGGAUUGACUGCAAAGGCAGGAUCCCAGCAAAUGUGUCCUGGAAUUUUAUUUUGGAAAUACAAUGUAGCCACACUCAUCAUGGCUACAUCUCAGCAAAGUCGUGCUUGAGCAUGCACAUGCGCCUUAGACGCACACCAUUCACAAUGAAUGGGAUGGCUAAAUACACAGCUGGGCACAGCUAGAACGCAGGUGCGCCUAGCCAUCCACCGAAGAUGUAGCCAUGACGAGUGUAGCUACAGUACAUCUGUAUAGCAACCCUAUAUGCAGAGGGCUCCAUUUUCAUCCCCAUCAGGCCCCACAAAAAACACACACAUGGGUUUUACAAGUAAUGAUCAAGGUGAAUGAGUAGCAUCACAAGUAUGAUAGUGAGUGCAGAUUAUUGGCAGCCAGUGCAAUAUGGUAAAAAGUCAGAGUAGGCCAGCUAUACAGUGUUCAGAAGUUAGGAGUGUUGUGUCCAGUAGGAAGUGAGAAAGGGCUGUGAGGUCAGUGUGAUAAAUAGGUAAAUAAAUGAACAGUACUUUUUUUGGAGAUUUGUGUUCUAAUCUGGGUAGCCACUUUCUGAGCUACACACUAAACUCUGGCAGACACACAUAUUGGAUCGGUUACUAAUUCAAUGGCAUAAAUGUUUUUGAGCUACUGAGUUAUAUAACAGUUUUGAAUGAACCAAUAUUAAUCAUGCUGAAAAGUACCCAGCUAAACUUCACAAUAGUUAUUUUUCUAUAAAUAAGAUAUGUCUAAUGGCUAGAAUUAAAAUAUAUCAUAUAACCAUAUUCAUUUGUGUACGUAGGAAUAAGAAUGCAUAGUAAUUUCCUUAUUGUAGUGUCCUUAAGAAACAAAAGAUUAGUUUAAUUAAAUUGCUAACCCAUA